ACACGGGGGGGGCGAGCGUUAUUCGGAAUUACUGGGCGUAAAGGGCGCGUAGGCGGUCCGUUAAGUGUGAAGUGAAAUGCCUGGGCUCAACUUGGGAAGUGCUUUGCAUACUGGUGGACUUGAGUCCAAGAGGGGGUGGUGGAAUUCCUGGUGUAGGGGUGAAAUCCGUAGAUAUCAGGAGGAACACCGUUGGCGAAGGCGGCCACCUGGACUGGUACUGACGCUGAGGCGCGAAAGCGUGGGGAGCGAACAGGAUUAGAAACCCGGGUAGUCC
rnacentral:rRNA from 1 species